UGCAGUCGAUCGCUCUUUUCGGAGAGAGAGGCGCACGGGUGAGUAACACGUGGGAAUAUACCCUUGAGUACGGAAUAACUAUUGGAAACGAUAGCUAAUACCGUAUACGCCCUACGGGGGAAAGAUUUAUCGCUCAAGGAUUAGCCCGCGUCUGAUUAGCUAGUUGGUGAGGUAAUGGCUCACCAAGGCGACGAUCAGUAGCUGGUUUGAGAGAAUGAUCAGCCACACUGGGACUGAGACACGGCCCAGACUCCUACGGGAGGCAGCAGUGGGGAAUAUUGGACAAUGGGCGCAAGCCUGAUCCAGCCAUGCCGCGUGAGUGAAGAAGGCCUUCGGGUUGUAAAGCUCUUUCAGACGUGAAGAUGAUGACGGUAACGUCAGAAGAAGCCCCGGCUAACUUCGUGCCAGCAGCCGCGGUAAUACGAAGGGGGCAAGCGUUGUUCGGAAUUACUGGGCGUAAAGCGCGCGUAGGCGGCGUCGUCAGUCAGAGGUGAAAUCCCAGGGCUCAACCUUGGAAUUGCCUUUGAUACUGCGAUGCUUGAGUUCGAGAGAGGGUGGCGGAAUACCCAGUGUAGAGGUGAAAUUCGUAGAUAUUGGGUAGAACACCAGUGGCGAAGGCGGCCACCUGG
rnacentral:rRNA from 1 species